rnacentral:rRNA from 1 species
GCGUAUACAAUCUGCCUAUUACUGGGGUAUAGCCCGAAGAAAUUUGGAUUAACCCCCCAUAGUAUUGAGAUAAGGCAUCUUAUUUCAAUUAAAACCACGGUGGUAAUAGAUGAGUAUGCGUCCUAUUAGUUUGUUGGUAAGGUAACGGCUUACCAAGACUUCGAUAGGUAGGGGUCCUGAGAGGGAGAUCCCCCACACUGGUACUGAGACACGGACCAGACUCCUACGGGAGGCAGCAGUGAGGAAUAUUGGACAAUGGAGGCAACUCUGAUCCAGCCAUGCCGCGUGCAGGAAGACUGCCCUAUGGGUUGUAAACUGCUUUUAUAGAGGAAGAAACCUCCCUUCGUGAAGGGAAUUGACGGUACUCUACGAAUAAGGAUCGGCUAACUCCGUGCCAGCAGCCGCGGUAAUACGGAGGAUCCAAGCGUUAUCCGGAAUCAUUGGGUUUAAAGGGUCCGUAGGCGGACUAAUAAGUCAGUG